rnacentral:rRNA from 1 species
AACGAACGCUGGCGGCAUGCCUAACACAUGCAAGUCGAACGAGACCUUCGGGUCUAGUGGCGCACGGGUGCGUAACGCGUGGGAACCUGCCCUUAGGUUCGGAAUAACUCCCCGAAAGGGGUGCUAAUACCGGAUAAUGUCUUCGGACCAAAGAUUUAUCGCCUUUGGAUGGGCCCGCGUUGGAUUAGCUAGUUGGUAGGGUAAAAGCCUACCAAGGCGACGAUCCAUAGCUGGUCUGAGAGGAUGAUCAGCCACACUGGGACUGAGACACGGCCCAGACUCGUACGGGAGGCAGCAGUGGGGAAUAUUAGACGAUGGGCGAAAGCCUGAUCCAGCAAUGCCGCGUGAGUGAGGAAGGCCUUAGGGUUGUAAAGCUCUUUUACCCGGGAUGAUAAUGACAGUACCGGGAGAAUAAGCUCCGGCUAACUCCGUG